AGUUUGAUCAUGGCUCAGAGCGAACGUUAGCGGCGGGCUUAACACAUGCAAGUCGAGCGAGAAAGUGGCUUCGGCCAUCAGUAAAGCGGCGGACGGGUGAGUAACACGUAGGUAAUCUUCCCUUGAGCGGGGGACAACGAGCCGAAAGGCUCGCUAAUACCGCAUAAGUUCCCAGGGUCCUUGGAUCUUGGGAGGAAAGCUAGGUAGCAAUAUCCGGCACUCGAGGAGGAGCCUGCGUAGCAUCAGCUAGUUGGUGGGGUAAUGGCCUACCAAGGCGAAGACGCUUAGCUGGUCUGAGAGGAUGAUCAGCCACACUGAAACUGAGACACGGUUCAGACUCCUACGGGAGGCAGCAGUGGGGAAUAUUGGACAAUGGGCGCAAGCCUGAUCCAGCCACGCCGCGUGAGUGAUGAAGGCCUUCGGGUCGUAAAGCUCUGUGGGGAGGGACGAACCGCCGUUGGUUAAUACCCAACGGCAUGACGGUACCUCCUUAGCAAGCACCGGCUAACUUCGUGCCAGCAGCCGCGGUAAUACGAAGGGUGCAAACGUUGCUCGGAAUUAUUGGGCGUAAAGCGCACGUAGGUGGCUUAGCAAGUUGGAUGUGAAAUCCCUCGGCUCAACCAAGGAGGUGCAUCCAAAACUGCUGAGCUUGAGUACUUA
rnacentral:rRNA from 1 species